rnacentral:rRNA from 1 species
GACAGAGGGUGCAAACGUUGCUCGGAAUUACUGGGCGUAAAGCGCGUGUAGGCGGUUCCGCAAGUCAGGUGUGAAAGCCCAGGGCUCAACCCUGGAAGUGCACAUGAUACUACGGAGCUUGAGUACUGAAGAGGAGAGCGGAAUUCCCGGUGUAGAGGUGAAAUUCGUAGAUAUCAGGAGGAACAUCGGUGGCGAAGGCGGCCUCCUGGACACUUACUGACGCUGAGGUGCGAAAGCGUGGGGAGCAAACAGG